CGCAUCUGUGCAUGCAGCAUAUCAAUAAGCGGAGGAAAAGAAACUAACAAGGAUUCCCUUAGUAACGGCGAGUGAAGCGGGAAGAGCUCAAAUUUGAAAUCUUCAAGGUUUUACCUUGACGAAUUGUAGUUUAAAGAAGUGUUUUCUGUUGAAGUUUUGGUAAAAGUUCUUUGGAAUAGGACAUCAUAGAGGGUGAGAAUCCCGUAUUUGACCAUUAUUUUCAGCUGUGUGAUACACUUUCAAAGAGUCGGAUUGUUUGGGAAUGCAGUCCAAAAUGGGUGGUAAAUUUCAUCUAAAGCUAAAUAUUGGCGAGAGACCGAUAGCGAACAAGUACCGUGAGGGAAAGAUGAAAAGAACUUUGAAAAGAGAGUUAAACAGUACGUGAAAUUGUCAAAAGGGAAGCGUCUGACACCAGUGUUGUUUUCUCGAAAAUCAAUUAAAAAGAGUUUGAUUUUGUUGUGUAUUGACCUUAACAGCUUGCAUUUCAAUUUUCUUGCUUUUUUUAAUGCACUUUUCGUUUAACAAGUCAACAUCAGUUUCUUUUGUUGUAAAAAGGUCAUUGGAAGGUGGCUUUCUUUUCGGAGAAAGUGUUUAUAGCCUUUGACUCCUGCAAUCGGAGAGACUGAGGUCUGCAGCGUAGAUCCUUCGGGGUUAGAUACAUUUGUGCUAAGUUAUAGCUUUUUAUAGACAACUUGUUGACUAUGAUUAGUCUUGUAGCUUACUCGCUUAUGCUAUUUUACCUACGCUUAGGAUGUUGACACACGCGCGUGCUCG
rnacentral:rRNA from 1 species